rnacentral:rRNA from 1 species
AGGCCUAACACAUGCAAGUCGAGCGGUAACGAGUUAUCUGAACCUUCGGGGCAACGUAUAACGGCGGUCGAGCGGCGGUACGGGUGAGUAAUGCCUAAGGAAAUUGCCCUGGAUGUGGGGGAUAACCAUUGGAAACGAUGGCUAAUACCGCAUGAUGCCUACGGGCCAAAGAGGGGGACCUUCGGGCCUCUCGCGUCAGGAUAUGCCUAGGUGGGAUUAGCUAGUUGGUGAGGUAAGGGCUCACCAAGGCGACGAUCCCUAGCUGGUCUGAGAGGAUGAUCAGCCACACUGGAACUGAGACACGGUCCAGACUCCUACGGGAGGCAGCAGUGGGGAAUAUUGCACAAUGGGCGCAAGCCUGAUGCAGCCAUGCCGCGUGUGUGAAGAAGGCCUUCGGGUUGUAAAGCACUUUCAGUCGUGAGGAAGGUAGUGUAGUUAAUAGCUGCAUUAUUUGACGUUAGCGACAGAAGA